GGAAAAUACAUUCUCCUGGGGAGAGGAAUCCCAGAAAUUCCUCCUUGCGCUGGAAACGAUCACUCGUUUCUUGUUUUCCAGAUUUCUCCUUGUUUUGUCUGCAAGUUGCUGCACGCCUUUACUGGAGCACGGCACAGCUACAUUCUCCAGCUCAUGGUCUGUGGAUGAGUUCCCGUCUCUUUGCCCGGGCACGUUGUUUUGUACAAAGAGGUGGCAAACCUGAGGCUGCCUCUGUUGCGAUGGUGUCACAUUUUUAAAUGCUGCAGUGCUCCUCCUGAUCGCCUUCCUCAGAGGAGUUAGCAGAGACACUUCCUGCGCUACGGGGCAGCGUUUCUUCUGGCUCUCCCCAAGACACUGAGUGUUAGCACAGCACAUACAGGGAUGGGUAGCAUGGCUCUGAGGUUCCGGAACAGAUCUCACCUCCUGCACAGAAGUAUUUUCUCUGCCACACACCACUUGAGCAACGGGGCUGACUUGAGCAACGGAGCUGCCUCCAGAAGCUGUGCUGAGGUCCUUCCCAGGUGUCCCGUCCCCGGUGGGCUGGCUCCCCACGGGCAGGGCUCCGUGCUGAGACGGACCCGAGGAGCUGCAACCCCCCCUGCCCCGGCAGCACGGCCAGUGCUCGGUCUCCUGACGUGAGGCACAGCCCUGGCAUGUGCCAGGGGAGGUCUGAGAAGAGUCGUCCACCAUCCGAGGGGGGGCUCUGGCGCUGGACAUGAAUGUCUGCAGCUCAGCUAAGGCACUAGGGAGCUUCAGGGAGCCUAAUUCUUCACACAGCUUCAGGUGCUGAUCGCUCAGCUGAGCCGGCAGCGACUCCAGGCUCUCCUUCAGCUGCUGGACACUGCAUUUCACAUCUGAAAUCUCCAUGUCUUUCUGGGGAAGCAGGGAGCAGAGCAGAAGCAGUAAACAACACAUUAAAAGGUACAAUAAUAGGACUCACAGAAGAAACUUUUGGUUCUAUGCAUUAGUUAGAUGCCUUACAUUGGGUACCAGCCCAAAGAUUAGCAAUUUGUGUCCCCCUGUGCAAUACGCAUCUCAGACUGUCCCACAACAAUGGGAACUUUGGGACUGGGGGACUUGGGUUGCCCUCUCACAUCACAUCCUUGCCAAAAGCAAUUCCCCCAGCAGGGUCUUUGAAAAAAACACACCACUCUGGGAGGCCUGGAGUUCGCUCUUUUGUCUCUGCCUCCCACU